AUUGAACGCUGGCGGCAGGCUUAACACAUGCAAGUCGAGCGGAGAUGAGGUGCUUGCACCUUAUCUUAGCGGCGGACGGGUGAGUAAUGCUUAGGAAUCUGCCUAUUAGUGGGGGACAACAUUCCGAAAGGAAUGCUAAUACCGCAUACGUCCUACGGGAGAAAGCAGGGGAUCUUCGGACAUUGCGCUAAUAGAUGAGCCUAAGUCGGAUUAGCUAGUUGGUGGGGUAAAGGCCUACCAAGGCGACGAUCUGUAGCGGGUCUGAGAGGAUGAUCCGCCACACUGGGACUGGGGCACGGCCCAGACUCCUACGGGAGGCAGCAGUGGGGAAUAUUGGACGAUGGGGGGAACCCUGAUCCAGCCAUGCCGCGUGUGUGAAGAAGGCCUUAUGGUUGUAAAGCACUUUAAGCGAGGAGGAGGCUACUGAGACUAAUACUCUUGGAUAGUGGACGUUACUCGCAGAAUAAGCACCGGCUAACUCUGUGCCAGCCGCCGGCGUAACAC
rnacentral:rRNA from 1 species